GUUUUUCUAGACUAAAGCGACCUUUCCCAACAAAAGAGGUUCGGGCCCAGGUAUGGGGCAAUUACUAGCUGUGGCAUAAUGCCACUUCCGUUGCCAUUAUCCAGUUACAGUAAUUUCAAAAAGAGGCACAGCAGAGUUGUACAGAGUUUCCGAAGGGACUGCAUAGACCGUGCUGCACGGUUCCAGUGCAGACAGUCAAUAAUGCACAGCAUUGGCAUUAGUAAUUUAGUAUCGCAUUAUUGUAUUCAGCUGAUGUUUGACACAUCAUCCCAUUCACAUGAUGCCAGAGUUUAAGUUUGAUGGUCCCCUAUUGUGUUUUCUCACCAUUUGCACUCGUCCUGUUUAGAACGCCUGCGCUCAGGACCACAAGUGACUGUUUCCCGACACGUAGCUCCCUUCCGAAAACCUUAGCCUUGUCUGUGGGCUCGGGAGAAGGGCUAUGUUUUUCAGGUGUGCUACCUGGACUUCUCCGCCCCGCAACCGACAUGUAUCCUCCCCAAUCUGUCGUUCCUGGUUGUCUACCUUUCAUUAUAUUGUUUACCAGCAUGCACUGUCUCCUUCCGGUACGAGUCGAACAGUCAAUCUGUAAUUCUGGCUGUUGUAUCGCUAUCUAGCCGGCCUGGGUUCGUGAUUGGGGACGGUCCAGAGACUGAUUUGACCUCAUGCCAGUUUCUGUCACAUAGCCAUUUUCCUUACCCUGUGCGAGCAAUCAAUUGGUGCCAUAGGGAUACAAGAAUUGCUUAUUCUUCAAUAUCUCAUAUGGGUUUUGUUUUAAUUGGAAUUUGUUCAUGUACAAAUAUAGGAUAAAUGAUAUGAUUACAUGCUGCGCACCAAAUUGCAAACAAACCGUGCAAGCAGUCUUAUGUCAAAAAAUGGAACAAAAGUUGCGGAUGAACCGAAAGUCGAGCUACAGUGCCAAACUACCCAAACACCACAAAGGGUGUUGAUUGAUACAGAUAGCAGGACGGUGGUCAUGGAAGUCGAAAUCCGCUAAGGAAUGUGUAACAACUCACCUGCUGAAUAAGUCAGCCCCGAAAAUGGAUGGCUCUGAAGCGCACGACCUAUGCUCGGCCAUCGUGGCGAUUCUGACACCGCGACGAGUAGGAGGGCGCGGGGCCUGCUGUGAAGCCUGGAGCGUGAGCCUAGGUGAAGUGGGUCCUGGUGCAAAUCUUGGUGGUAGUAGCAAGUAUUCAAAUGAGAACUUUGAAGACCGGAGUGGAGAAGGGUUUCAUGUGAACAGCGCUUGGACGUGGGUCAGUCGGCCCUAAGAGAUGUGGAAACCUUGUAUCAAGGGCGCACUGCACGCCGCACAUCGAAAGAGGGUCGGGUUAAUAUUCCCGAACCGGGUUGUGGCAGUGGACGGUAAUGUAAGAAGCUCCGGAGAUGCCAACUGGGGUUGUGGGAAGGGUUCUCUUUCCUUCUUGAUGGCUCGCCCACCCUGGAAUCGGAUCAACCGGAGAUAGGGUGCAGCGCCCGGCAAAGCACCGCGCGUCCUGUGGUGUCCAGCAUGCUCCCGACAACCCUUGAAAAUCCAGAGCUGUGGGUACCUCUCAUGCCCGACGCUACUCGUAACCGCAUCAGGUCUCCCAGGUGAGCAGCCUCUGGUCAAAGGAAGAAUGUAGGAAAGGGAAGUCGGCAAUAUGGAUCCGUAACCUUGGGAAAAGGAUUGGCUCUGAGGGCUGGGCCUAGGGGUCUGCGCCUCGAUGUCGUUGGCUGCCGGUGGUCUGCCCGAGCUGCUCUCGCGGCGAGGGCGGAGCCCGCGUGCCAGUGUGCCGACGGGCGUAGAAUGUCUUAUGGCCCCACCUUUCAGGUGGAGCCGUGGACUCUCCUUAAGCAUCCAAUUGCCGACUAAGAGCUGGUGCGGACAAGGGGAAUCCGACUGUUUAAUUAAAACAAAGCAUCGCGAUGGUCCCAACGACUAUUAACGCAAUGUUAUUUUCGCCCAAUGAUCUGAAUGUCAAAGUGAAGAGAUUCAACCAAGUGCGGGUAAACGGCGGGAGAAACUACGACUCUCUUAAGGUAGCCAAAUGCCUCGUCAUCUAAUUAGUGAUGCACAUGAAUGGAUUAACGAGAUUCCCACCGUCCCUAUCUACCAUCCUGCRAAACCACAGCCAAGGGAACGAGCUUGGAAGAAUCAGCGGGGAAAGAAGACCCUGUUGAGCUUGACUCUAAUUCGACUCUAUGAAACGACUUGAGAGGUGUAGAACUGGGUGCAAACUGCCUCCCGGCGACAUCUCCCCUGAAGGAAUAGGAUGACGAGUUAUUUCGGCGUGCAAUCUGACGCAUGUGACCUCAGGCGUUGGUCGGGGUUGAUACCUCUCCAAGAACACUACGCUGUAUGUUCUAUAUGUUUUUCAUAUCUCUGGUUUUUUCUUGCUUGUCGGUGACAAGCAACCGGACUGACGCCCCCCAGAAUAGAUGGGGCAUGUGUGUGUGUGUUUUCGUUAUUAAGAAAAGAAAAAAAGAAAAAAAGGCGUUUAGCUACCGCUUUGAUCAUUGCACAGGCUGGGUGGGAUACCUUGGGGAGUUGCAUGCAAGUGUCUGGGUAUUGUUUGGAUAUUUCCCGGCUUGCAUGCGACCCCCCAGGACCCCGCAGAUGGAGUGACAGGCACCUCCGCGACAACCCCCUACUGCCACGUGGCUAGGGUCGGGC
rnacentral:rRNA from 1 species